CCUACGUGGGGCAGCAGUGAGGAAUAUUGGUCAAUGGGCGCGAGCCUGAACCAGCCAAGUAGCGUGAAGGAUGACUGCCCUACGGGUUGUAAACUUCUUUUAUAAAGGAAUAAAGUGAGGCACGUGUGCCUUUUUGUAUGUACUUUAUGAAUAAGGAUCGGCUAACUCCGUGCCAGCAGCCGCGGUAAUACGGAGGAUCCGAGCGUUAUCCGGAUUUAUUGGGUUUAAGGGGAGCGUAGAUGGGUUGUUAAGUCAGUUGUGAAAAUUUGCGGCUCAACCGUAAAAUUGCAAUUGAUACUGGCAGUCUUGAGUACAGUUGAGGUAGGCGGAAUUCGUGGUGUAGCGGUGAAAUGCUUAGAUAUCACGAAGAACUCCGAUUGCGAAGGCAGCUUACUAAACUGCCACUGACAUUGAUGCUCGAAAGUGUGGGUAUCAAACAGGAUUAGAUACCCCUGUAGUC
rnacentral:rRNA from 1 species